rnacentral:rRNA from 1 species
CAGCCGCCGCGGUAAUACGAAGGGUGCAAGCGUUACUCGGAAUUACUGGGCGUAAAGCGUGCGUAGGUGGUGGUUUAAGUCCGUUGUGAAAGCCCUGGGCUCAACCUGGGAAUUGCAGUGGAUACCGGAUCACUAGAGUGUGGUAGAGGAUAGUGGAAUUUCCGGUGUAGCAGUGAAAUGCGUAGAGAUCGGAAGGAACAUCUGUGGCGAAGGCGACUAUCUGGGCCAACACUGACACUGAGGCACGAAAGCGUGGGGAGCAAACAGGAUUAGAUACCCCAGUAGUCCCUGUCUCUUAUAC